CCUACGGGGGGCUGCAGUGGGGAAUAUUGCACAAUGGGCGCAAGCCUGAUGCAGCCAUGCCGCGUGUGUGAAGAAGGCCUUCGGGUUGUAAAGCACUUUCAGCGGGGAGGAAGGCGGUGAGGUUAAUAACCUCAUCGAUUGACGUUACCCGCAGAAGAAGCACCGGCUAACUCCGUGCCAGCAGCCGCGGUAAUACGGAGGGUGCAAGCGUAAUCGGAAUUACUGGGCGUAAAGCGCACGCAGGCGGUCUGUCAAGUCGGAUGUGAAAUCCCCGGGCUCAACCUGGGAACUGCAUUCGAAACUGGCAGGCUAGAGUCCUGUAGAGGGGGGUAGAAUUCCAGGUGUAGCGGUGAAAUGCGUAGAGAUCUGGAGGAAUACCGGUGGCGAAGGCGGCCCCCUGGACAAAGACUGACGCUCAGGUGCGAAAGCGUGGGGAGCAAACAGGAUUAGAUACCCGGGUAGUC
rnacentral:rRNA from 1 species